rnacentral:rRNA from 1 species
UACAGAGGGUGCAAGCGUUGUUCGGAAUUAUUGGGCGUAAAGCGCGUGUAGGCGGCUUUGCAAGUCGGGUGUGAAAGCCCUCAGCUCAACUGAGGAAGUGCGCCCGAAACUGCAGAGCUUGAGUACCGGAGAGGAUGGUGGAAUUCCCCAAGUAGAGGUGAAAUUCGUAGAUAUGGGGAGGAACACCGGUGGCGAAGGCGACCAUCUGGACGGAUACUGACGCUGAGGCGCGAAAGCCAGGGGAGCGAACGGG